GAUGAACGUUGGCGGUAUGCCUAACACAUGCGAGUCGAACGAGCUCUUCGGAGCUAGUGGCGGACGGGUGAGUAACGCGUGAGAAUCUGCCUUCAGGAUGGGGACAACAGUUGGAAACGAUUGCUAAAACCCAAUGUGCCGCAAGGUGAAAUAUUAAUAGCCUGAAGAGGAGCUCGCGUCCGAUUAGUUAGUUGGUGGGGUAAAGGCCUACCAAGGCAGCGAUCGGUAGCUGGUCUGAGAGGAUGAGCAGCCACACUGGGACUGAGACACGGCCCAGACUCCUACGGGAGGCAGCAGUGGGGAAUUUUCCGCAAUGGGCGAAAGCCUGACGGAGCAAUACCGCGUGAGGGAGGAAGGUUUUUGGAUUGUAAACCUCUUUUGUUAAGGAAGAAGAAAGUGACGGUACUUAACGAAUAAGCAUCGGCUAACUCCGUGCCAGCAGCCGCCGUAA
rnacentral:rRNA from 1 species